CCUACGGGAGGCAGCAGUGGGGAAUCUUGCGCAAUGGGCGAAAGCCUGACGCAGCCAUGCCGCGUGAAUGAUGAAGGUCUUAGGAUUGUAAAAUUCUUUCACCGGGGACGAUAAUGACGGUACCCGGAGAAGAAGCCCCGGCUAACUUCGUGCCAGCAGCCGCGGUAAUACGAAGGGGGCUAGCGUUGCUCGGAAUUACUGGGCGUAAAGGGAGCGUAGGCGGAUAGUUUAGUCAGAGGUGAAAGCCCAGGGCUCAACCUUGGAAUUGCCUUUGAUACUGGCUAUCUUGAGUUUGGGAGAGGUGAGUGGAACUCCGAGUGUAGAGGUGAAAUUCGUAGAUAUUCGGAAGAACACCAGUGGCGAAGGCGACUCACUGGCCCAAUACUGACGCUGAGGCUCGAAAGCGUGGGGAGCAAACAGGAUUAGAUACCCUGGUAGUCCACGCCGUAAACGAUGAGUGCUAGUUGUCGGCAUGCAUGCAUGUCGGUGACGCAGCUAACGACAUUAAGUACACUCCGCCGUCGGGGAGGUACGGUCGGCGAAGAAGUUAAAACGUUAAAAGGUAAAGUUAGUUACGGUCGUUGAGACGUUGCCGACGGACGACGACGAGGGAGGAGG
rnacentral:rRNA from 1 species